rnacentral:tRNA from 1 species
GGUGACGUGGGUGAGUGGCUGAAACCACAGCCCUGCUAAGGCUGCAUACGGGUUUACCGUAUCGAGGGUUCGAAUCCCUCCGUCACCG